AGUGAACGCUGGCGGUAGGCCUAACACAUGCAAGUCGAACGGCAGCACAUUAAGAGCUUGCUCUUACGGGUGGCGAGUGGCGGACGGGUGAGGAAUACAUCGGAAUCUACUUUUUCGUGGGGGAUAACGUAGGGAAACUUACGCUAAUACCGCAUACGACCUACGGGUGAAAGCAGGGGAUCUUCGGACCUUGCGCGAUUGAAUGAGCCGAUGUCGGAUUAGCUAGUUGGCGGGGUAAAGGCCCACCAAGGCGACGAUCCGUAGCUGGUCUGAGAGGAUGAUCAGCCACACUGGAACUGAGACACGGUCCAGACUCCUACGGGAGGCAGCAGUGGGGAAUAUUGGACAAUGGGAGCAAGCCUGAUCCAGCCAUACCGCGUGGGUGAAGAAGGCCUUCGGGUUGUAAAGCCCUUUUGUUGGGAAAGAAAAGCAGCAGGUUAAUACCCAGCUGUCCUGACGGUACCCAAAGAAUAAGCACCGGCUAACUUCGUG
rnacentral:rRNA from 1 species